UCUUCAUAAAGGAAUUCUUCUGUCUUUCUCCUAGGAGAAGCUCCAUAGGGCUCCUCAGCUUGUUUCACAGACCAAUAUCACCACCCAGGUUCCACCUGUAAGUGGUGCAGUUUUUGAAAGGAUGCAGUGCUACUUCCCAAAAUGAGAGACGAAUCUGCCCUUUGAUGAACUGAUGCCAAGAACAAAGAUAUCCUGCUCCUCUCAGUUCAAGGGACUAAUUCCACUUAGAAAAGCCCAAAAGGAGUGUUUGCCUGAUGAUACAUGAAUGAGAUACCUUCUGAGCCCUAUCCCCUCCAAUGACUAAGAAGAGCUGGAUGGCUCCACAGAAAGUCAAGCAGACAACUACAACACACAGCUGGAACAAUGCUGAUGUCUCCAGUGCAUAGGAACAGAAAGAAAUAUUAUCAUUAGGCAAAGAGUUUGCUCCACCACCUUCUCCCACCAGGAUGUGCUGCCACAGCUCCAACGUUAUGAAGUCAAUUGGCCAUGGACUGAAAUCUCCCAA